GUAAUUCUUCCUCCGGCAUCAGAUGAAGCUCAUGACCUCAUAAAGCCUUCUGAGACACGGAGGAGCCCCUGCGUGGGAAACGUCUUCAGUUACAGACCAUGACCUCAGACAAACGUGCCUCAAGUCGCACAGCAAAUCAGUGUCCCACUUCCUGAAGAAACAUAAGACAUAGACCCAACCCACGGAAACCGUUGGGGAGAGAAAAGAGUCAAAGCAGAAACAGUCAAAGGACAGAGCAAGCCAGUGUGGCAAAAGUCUCCAGCCUGAGUAAAUGUAACUGGACAAAUUGAUCGUGCAACCUGGGUCAAGCCUGGAGUGUUCUAUCAGAGAACCCAUCUCGUUGCGUCUGAUAUGACAAACCCACCGGUGAAAGUGCCUCGUGUCACUGACACUUUAGGGCAUUGUCUGACAAGCUUCUUCAAGGUCAUCUGACUCUCUGGAUAGGGAAUUAUAGCUUUGUUCCUUUCGCUAUUUUCUAUUGAUUAGGACCCAGAAACCUUACAACUCUGUAAACUUAGAUGUUUAUAAAAAAUGCCU